UGGGCGUAAGCGCACGCAGCGCGGUCUGUCAAGUCGGAUGUGAAAUCCCCGGGCUCAACCUGGGAACUGCAUUCGAAACUGGCAGGCUAGAGUCUUGUAGAGGGGGGUAGAAUUCCAGGUGUAGCGGUGAAAUGCGUAGAGAUCUGGAGGAAUACCGGUGGCGAAGGCGGCCCCCUGGACAAAGACUGACGCUCAGGUGCGAAAGCGUGGGGAGCAAACAGGAUUAGAUACCCUGGUAGUCCACGCCGUAAACGAUGUCGACUUGGAGGUUGUGCCCUUGAGGCGUGGCUUCCGGAGCUAACGCGUUAAGUCGACCGCCUGGGGAGUACGGCCGCAAGGUUAAAACUCAAAUGAAUUGACGGGGGCCCGCACAAGCGGUGGAGCAUGUGGUUUAAUUCGAUGCAACGCGAAGAACCUUACCUACUCUUGACAUCCAGAGAACUUAGCAGAGAUGCUUUGGUGCCUUCGGGAACUCUGAGACAGGUGCUGCAUGGCUGUCGUCAGCUCGUGUUGUGAAAUGU
rnacentral:rRNA from 1 species